GCGACACUAGCUCAGUUGGUAGAGCGCAACCUUGCCAAGGUUGAGGUCACGAGUUCUA
rnacentral:tRNA from 1 species